UACGUAGGGACCGAGCGUUGUCCGGAAUCAUUGGGCGUAAAGAGCGUGUAGGCGGCCUUUUAAGUCCUGCGUGAAAUCCUGCGGCUCAACCGCAGACGGUCGUGGGAAACUGGAAGGCUAGAGUGCGGGAGAGGAGAGUGGAAUUCCCGGUGUAGCGGUGAAAUGCGCAGAUAUCGGGAAGAACACCCGUGGCGAAGGCGGCUCUCUGGAACGCAACUGACGCUGAGACGCGAAAGCGUGGGGAGCAAACAGGAUUAGAUACCCUGGUAGUCCACGCCGUAAACGAUGGACGCUAGGUGUGGGCGGUGUCGACUCCGUCCGUGCCGAAGCUAACGCAUUAAGCGUCCCGCCUGGGGAGUACGGCCGCAAGGCUAAA
rnacentral:rRNA from 1 species